rnacentral:lncRNA from 1 species
GUUGGGCCUCCUUGAAGGGGAAAAAUCUUCAACAGGAACCAGGCCACUGAGAGAUGGAAGAAAGGACAGCUCAUACCCAAACCUCACGAGGAGGCUACAGGAAUCACUGGACAGUUCCUUUAUUGGGAAAGCCCCCAGUGACUUUCCAAUGAAAUGGAUAGAGAAGGGAAAAGAGACCCUUCGGAAUCAGAUGAGUCCAUGAACUGGCAGCAGUCAGGGCAGUGAUGACAUCACAGAAGGAGGAUGGGCCUUAGACAGACAUCACUCUUUAGAAUCCCUGCAACUUUGAGCAAGUUCGUGAAUCUCACUAAGGCUCAGUUUCCUCCAUAAAAUUAAUCAAUAUCAGGGCCUCUGCAUUGGACAACUCCAGAGGGCACCAUUGGGGUUAUACCUUGUGUUUGCCUAACCUUCAUUGCAGUGGGCAGGUGCAUGCUUUCUACAAUGUCCUAAGGUCUAAAGGGGUAGAGUUCUGUGUGUGGCAUUUUAGGCCUGGAAAGGAUGAGAGUCUACAAAACCAGAGAAAUACUGCAGAGCUCCUAAAGUCCUUGGAAUGUCCUAAGUGCAAAUGGUCAAACCCAGGAGGGAAUGGUAUGAACCUCUGGUUUACAGCCAUUGGUAAGAAGCACACAUGACAACCUGGACUUUCCAUCAACAUUUGAAGCGGGAGCAGUCUUGUGGGAUCAAGCUCUUAACCUGUGGGGUCUGCUACUAACUCUGAAUCCAAUGAACACAUGGACCCAACACUCCUUUGGCCAAGUUGAUGAUUCUCCACCAUUUAUUUGCCUGCCUCACUAUACACUUCUAGCAAGCCACUGCAAGGCUGCAUUGCAGCUAAGAGGAAGCCCUCCUUGAAGGCUGCACAGCAAGGAGUGUUGGCAGAGUAGCUGGGUUUCCACUGGGAGAGCACGAGUCAGCAUCAUGCUGGGCUCAAGCAUGGAUAUGCACUGCUGCUGCCAGAGCAUCAUAAUUUGCAAGCAUUUAUCGAGUACCCUUCAUCUAAUUUUCAUCCUGCGGAAACUAGAAAUUGCUACACUUGCACACAAUAAACUUCUGGCAGUUAGCCUUCUAAACUGGGACACUACCAUUUGGGAGGGAAAAGACCUUUCUGGUGGUUAAAGAUGGGGCUUCCAGUUACUGCAUUUGUUUUAAUACAGUCUAUUCCAUAGAGCCAUCGAUGGAGACUCAUUAUAUAACCUUUCGUGGAAAGCUUCUGACUUCUUUCUCAAUGCACAGUGCUUCACGUGACUUUUGAGUUAUAGCUGACUGCCCUAGCUCACAUUUUAGUGCCAGA